AUGGUGACAGUGCAAGAUGAGAUGCGCAAGGGGCCAUGGACAGAGCAGGAAGACCUGCAACUGGUAUGCACUGUCCGCCUGUUCGGUGACCGCCGCUGGGAUUUCGUUGCCAAAGUCUCAGGCCUUAACAGGACAGGCAAAAGCUGCCGCCUCCGGUGGGUCAACUACCUCCACCCUGGCCUCAAGCAUGGGCGCAUGUCGCCACAGGAGGAACACCUUAUUAUUGAGCUCCAUGCUCGAUGGGGUAACAGGUGGUCUAGAAUAGCACGCAGACUGCCAGGGCGUACGGACAAUGAGAUCAAGAACUACUGGAGGACACACAUGAGGAAGAAAGCACAAGAGAGGAAGACAAACAUGUCACCUUCUUCCUCCUCCUCAUCAUUUACAUACCAAUCCUGCCUCCUUGAAACUGCACCAAUAAUCAGGAUGGAUGGAGGCAGCACUCAUAAUGGCACAACCUGCUUCUCAAGUGUACUUAAGAGCAACCAGAGUGUCAUGGAUGGAUAUUCUAUGGACCAGAUAUGGAAGGAGAUUGAGGCACCGGCCAUGCUGCCCAUUGAUGAUAAAGCAUGCAGCAAUCUCCCAUGUCCUCUGCUGCCAUCUCCUAUGGGAGAUCGCUACUGCCCUCCUGAGGUAGUCUGGAAGAUGGACAAUGGUGAUCUCAAGAUGUUAGCUCCACAAUUUGGUUAUGGUAAUGGAGAACGUUCCUGCUAUUGA
rnacentral:rRNA from 1 species